AUGGCGCUCGUCCCACAUGGCGGCGGCGCGGGCGGAUCAGCGACGAUGGCGAUGCCGAUGCUGACCGCGGACAACUACACGGUCUGGGCCAUCAAGGCGCAGGCGAUCCUCGACGUCCACACCGUAUGGGAGGCGGUGACGCCGGGCGACGCGGCGGUGAACGCCAAGAAGGACAAGAUGGCGCGCGCGUUGCUCCUCGGGGCGUUGCCGGAGGAUGUGCUGCUGCAGGUGUCGACGAAGCUCACCGCCAGGGAGGUAUGGGACUCCCUGAAGGUGAGGUUCGUCGGCGCCGAUCGGGUCCGCGUGGCGAGGCUGGGGAUGCUGCGCUGUGAAUUCGAUCGGACGAAGAUGGCGGACGGCGAGGAGCUCGACGUGUACGGCGGGAGGCUCGCGGCGAUGGCGGCGAGGUAUGCCAACCUUGGGGAGACGCUGGGCAACGCAACACUUAUCAAGAAGUUGCUGGAUACGUGCCGGAUCGCCUCUUCCCCGUCGUCACCGGCAUCGAGCAGUUCCACGACGUGA
rnacentral:rRNA from 1 species